CCACGCUCUCACCCUUUGCUUUUUCUUUCCGUUUUCCACACUUCACUCUUAUUGAAAGAGAAUUCUCUAUUUUUCCUUUUUUAAAGUUUACUUUCAAGAAAAGGACUGAAAAUCUUCCUUAUCAAAGACUGGAUACUGUUAUGAUGUGAAACCUCUAAAGAAAGUCCUGGAUGCGUGUGCUGAGACGGAAGUGAGAGAAUAUUGGAGAAGCCUGGCUUGCUCGGCUCAGCCAGCUUACGGAAAACAGCUGUCCCGAGGAUCUGCCCAUACUCACGGAGGAUGUACGUGAGGGAGAUAAAAUCUGAUACAGUCAACCUACUGAGAUUUGGGGUUGUCUGUUCCUGCAGCGUCGCCUAGCCUCUUCUGACUAAUACGUUUGCUCAUUUAGGAACUCAGAAGCCUCAUUGUGCAGAACAUAUUCUCGGGGCUGGCCCCGUGGCCUCGUGGUUAAGUUCAUGCACUCCGCUGCAGGCAGCGUUUCAUUGGUUCGAAUCUUGGGCGCGGACAUGGCACUGCUCAUCAAACCAUGCUGAGGCAGCGUCCCACAUGCCACAACUAGAAGGACCCACAACGAAGAAUAUACAACUAUGUACCAGGGGGCUUUGGGGAGAAAAAGG
ensembl:lncRNA